ensembl:lncRNA
AUAUGAUUGAUGAUGACCUUUGACCUAGACCUGUCAAAAUAAGGUUUUAGGAAAUAUACAAACUAUUUCUCACUCUCUUGUGUCUGCACAGUUGUAUGUGUGUCCUUGCAAACUUCCGUUCACCUCUAUCUCACUUUCCCAGCAUGUCACGCUCCAGAUUUAUGGCGAGGCCCCGUGAUUGCCUCCAACACCAGGCGAACCUCAGUUCUAUCCAUCAUAAACAGAGUUGUUUUAUUUAUUUCUUUAUUUUAAAGCCUUCAUUAUGGCCGUUAAUGAUCGCUGUGCUCAGGAUUUAAAGAUAUAUUAUGCAAAAUCAGAGAAACAAACCUCAUUAUAAUUAAUCAAGCAUGCAUCAAGCCGUCAUGGCGGUAAAUAAAUUCUCCCAGCUAACACACUUGAGGAUUAAGAUUGCUUUUGCUAAUUUAAUCAGCGGUGUAAUAAUUUGCGCUCCAGACAGUGCUGACAGAGAAACCGAGCGAAACUAUUAAUUGUGCCGCGUUCCUCGUUUACUUUCAGUGCCAGGAAACUUCUCAGAGAUCCAGGGGAAUGGCCGCAAGUCUUUGAGCUGUGGGUAACGUCAGUCUUUAAUGGACGGCUUUUGCAUUAUUUAAUUCGAUUUAAUCCAACUUAACAUUGCAUCUAUAUAUAUAUAUAUAUAAUCAAAGCACAAAGACGAUAAAAAAAAACAUGACACUGAUAAACUGAGCUCAAAUCGUCUGGCUAGUCUACAGUGAAGUGUAAUUGUUUCCACUUAGGUUCCUGAACCAUCCAAGGAACUAAAGAGUUCCUGUUCCUGCAGUUCCAUAUGGGAAAUAACAUUGUGAUGUCAUUCUGCAGCCAGCAAAAGCAGGAAAGACGGCAAAGUUAGGUUUUUAUUAAGAGCUGUGUUGUUGUGUGAAUAUGAUGUUAACAUUAAUCUAGAUUUUCAAACCAUCUGCAUGCACCCAGGAUGCAAUCAAACAUUUAAACAUCAGUUAAACACUGGAUAAAAGAGUACAGAAAGCCCCACCCCCAAUAGUACUGCCCAAUUCAAAGAAAUGUACCGACCCUGGAACAGGACAUAAUAAGGUUACUAACAGAUGGGGUUUUAAAAUUGGUCCCAGUUUCAGUGGUGGAAAUGUGGCACAAACAUCUAGAGUUCCAGGAAGGGUUCUUGGGUUCCUUACUUUUUUGUUUCGUCAGUAGGAAUGUGGCUACAGUUCUUGACUCACAGAAAAGUUCCUGAUUAUCUGAAAAUGUUCCUCCACUAGAAACAUAAAGUUGGCCUAAAGUAGUGGUCUAAUGUUUCUGAAUCUCUGCAUUCCAGAAAAGGUUCCUCUGGUGUAAGCGUGCCGAAAUUUUCAGACUUCCUGAGUUCCUAAGUGACAGAAUAGUUCCUGAUUUCCCCAAAAAGAUCCACGUCUAGAAACAUGCCUAACAUUUCCGAUUUUCUGAGCUCAUGAAAAAGUUCCCGAUUUCCACUAUGGACAUGUCUGAGGUGUCGGAUCUUCUGGCUUCCUGAAAAGGUUCCGUUAAAGGUUUCUGUGUUUGACAUGUUUCUAAAGUUUCUGACUUCUUGAAAAGUUCCUGAGUUGGUUCCUGUAGUAAAAAUGCAGGAAGAGUUUCUGAGUUCCUGAAAAGGUUACUAAGGUAAAGAAAAUGCUCAGAUGAACUUUGUUCCUCCAUUUUCACCAAGCUAAGUGAAAUUUUAGUUCUUAAAAUGGCGGCAGUGUGUUCAUCCACACAUGCGUGUGUGUGUGUGUGUGUGUGUGUGUGUGUGUGUGUGUGUGUGUGUGUGUGUGAUGAAGUAGCAACAAACCUUGCUGCUGGAAGAAGACAGACUUUUGUCUGUGAGUCAGUGAACCUCGUCCAAAUGAACACUAGAGGGCAGAGUGACUCUGUUUCAGUUUCAGUGAGGUGGGUGAAAGCUAGUGAUGGAACAUUUAAAGGUUGCUGCAGUCUCUUUCAGGACAAAAAAAAACCCCAAAAGGUUAUAAAUACAAAAUGAUAAAAAAAAAAAAUAAUAAUAAUAAAAAAAAUGACAAUACAACCAGAUUAAAGUUAAUGCUCUGUGUUUGUGACCAGAAGGUUGUGAAGAGAGAGAGAGAGAGAGAGAGAGAGAGAGAGAGAGAGAGAGAUUGGAGUCUACCUCAGUAAUUACUCAUUUUAAAUAAAAUCUCUGGUCAUUAGGUGAAUGUUAAUGAAACCAGAUUGAGCGUUUUAUGACCGAUCUAUCUGACCGAUAGAGUUAAGUGCAAAAAUUUGCACAGUUUUUUAAUGGAAAUGUUUAUUUUACAAUUUAUCUACAAAAAUUUGAAUUACAAGAUGUUUUAUAUGUAAUGGACUUUCCACAUGCAGAUUACGUGUUUUAAUAUUUUUUUUUUUCAGAUUUAUUUCUUUUCAAAUCAUUCAUUUAUUUGCACGUGAUUUUUUCAAACGAUUCAUUUAUCUGCA